CCUACGGGGGGCAGCAGUGAGGAAUAUUGGUCCAUGGGCGCGAGCCUGAACCAGCCAAGUAGCGUGAAGGAUGCCUGCCCUACGGGUUGUAAACUUCUUUUAUAAAGGAAUCAAGUUAGGCCCGUGUGCCUUUUUGUAUUUCCUUUAUGAAUAAGGAUCGGAUAAAUCCGUGCCAGCAGCCGCGGUAAUACGGAGGAUCCAAGCGUUAUCCGGAUUUAUUGGGUUUAAAGGGAGCGUCGAUGGGUUGUUAAGUCAGUUGUGAAAGUUUGCGGCUCAACCGUAAAAUUGCAAUUGAUACUGGCAGUCGUGAGGACAGUUGAGGUAGGCGGAAUUCGUGGGGUAGCGGUGAAAUGCUUAGAGAUCACGAAGAACUCCGAUUGCGAAGGCAGCUUACUAAACUGCCACUGACAUUGAUGCUCGAAAGCGUGGGGAGCAAACAGGAGUAGAUACCCCAGUAGUC
rnacentral:rRNA from 1 species